UACGUAGGGUGCAAGCGUUAAUCGGAAUUACUGGGCGUAAAGCGUGCGCAGGCGGUUUUGUAAGUCUGUCGUGAAAUCCCCGGGCUUAACCUGGGAAUGGCGAUGGAGACUGCAAGGCUAGAGUUUGGCAGAGGGGGGUAGAACUCCACGUGUAGCAGUGAAAUGCGUAGAGAUGUGGAGGAACACCGAUGGCGAAGGCAGCCCCCUGGGUCAAGACUGACGCUCAUGCACGAAAGCGUGGGGAGCAAACAGG
rnacentral:rRNA from 1 species